AGAGUUUGAUCCUGGCUCAGGAUGAACGCUAGCGACAGGCUUAACACAUGCAAGUCGAGGGGCAGCACGGUGUAGCAAUACACUGGUGGCGACCGGCGCACGGGUGAGUAACACGUGUGCAACCAACCCCGUACCGGGAGAUAACCCGCGGAAACGUGGACUAACAUCCCAUGAUACUCGAGAGCCGCAUGGCUCUCGAUUUAAAAUUCCGGUGGUACGGGACGGGCACGCGCGACAUUAGGUAGUUGGCGGGGUAACGGCCCACCAAGCCGACGAUGUCUAGGGGUUCUGAGAGGAAGGUCCCCCACACUGGAACUGAGACACGGUCCAGACUCCUACGGGAGGCAGCAGUGAGGAAUAUUGGUCAAUGGGCGAGAGCCUGAACCAGCCAAGUCGCGUGAGGGAAGAAUGGUCUAUGGCCUGUAAACCUCUUUUGUCAGGGAAGAAUAAGGAUGACGAGUCAUUCGAUGCCAGUACUUGACGAAUAAGCAUCGGCUAACUCCGUGCCAGCAGCCGCGGUAAUACGGGGGAUGCGAGCGUUAUCCGGAUUUAUUGGGUUUAAAGGGCGCGUAGGCGGGACGUCAAGUCAGCGGUAAAAGACUGCAGCUAAACUGUAGCACGCCGUUGAAACUGGCGCCCUGGAGACGAGACGAGGGAGGCGGAACAAGUGAAGUAGCGGUGAAAUGCAUAGAUAUCACUUGGAACCCCGAUAGCGAAGGCAGCUUCCCAGGCUCGUUCUGACGCUGAUGCGCGAGAGCGUGGGUAGCGAACAGGAUUAGAUACCCUGGUAGUCCACGCCGUAAACGAUGCUCACUGGAUCUUGGCGAUACACUGCCAGGGUUCAAGCGAAAGUAUUAAGUGAGCCACCUGGGGAGUACGUCGGCAACGAUGAAACUCAAAGGAAUUGACGGGGGCCCGCACAAGCGGAGGAACAUGUGGUUUAAUUCGAUGAUACGCGAGGAACC
rnacentral:rRNA from 1 species